rnacentral:rRNA from 1 species
UACGUAGGGGGCAAGCGUUGUCCGGAUUUAUUGGGCGUAAAGAGCGUGUAGGCGGUUUGGUAGGUCCGCUGUGAAAACUCGAGGCUCAACCUCGAGACGCCGGUGGAAACCAUCAGACUAGAGUCCGGAAGAGGAGAGUGGAAUUCCUGGUGUAGCGGUGGAAUGCGUAGAUAUCGGGAGGAACACCAGUGGCGAAGGCGGUUGCCUGGGGCUUUGCUGACGCUGAUGCGCGAAAGCGUGGGGAGCGAUCCGG